UCUGAUUGGCUAGUGUAGGAAUUUUACAUUCCUAAGUGUUUCGGUUCAGAGAGUUCUUGCAAUAUCUAUCGAAUCUCUGAGUCUUUCAUGGACACACAUAACAGUGUGGUUUUGAUGCGUUAGCUGUUUGUUUGAGACUUUAAGCUUGUUCAUUAGGUGUUAGGCUUCAAAGAACAGAUUCAAAUCUUGAGUUGUUAGUUAGUUUCUAACCUCUAUUUUUGCAGUGUUAUCCUACUUCCCAUUUGCGAUUUAACUAUCUAUGUAACAUGGUGGUUUAUUCACUUUGUUGAUGGAUUCUUCUCUCCCAUAUAUGCCCAACUUGGAAUCCAUAUAUUUGAUCAAAAUACACAAAGAAGUUGCAAUCUUCAGGCAUCCACGAAUAGGAGAUACUGCCCCAUCGAGCCAAAUCAAAGUGUACUCAGAGAAGGAGCUGAAACGUAAUUUAAGGAAGUUGCUUCAACAUUGUUGCAGGAGGUACAUGCUUAAUCAAUUUUUUUCUUGUCGUCUCCUUUUACUUUGAUUGCUAUCCAUGAUAUGUUCUCCUAGUCCUAGUCAGUGGAUGAAUUUUUCUAGUGUCAUAUCUCAUUAGAUCUUUCUCAGUACUUGUAAUGUGAUUAUGUUUACAUUGGUAGUAUCAAAUUAUUUGUAUGUCCAUCUAUCAUUCUCCCAUGUAUCUUUAAAGCUGUUAAUAUAUUGAAUAAUAAUUUUCCUCCUCACCAUCUGUCCGUGAGAGACGCGACGCUCCCAGCCUUUCAUUUUCUCAUGGGAGGAUCUCAGUCUGGAAAGUGUGUUACUAUCUAGCAAGCAUAAGGGUCAGUGCAAUUGAAACUAUGCUCCGAGGACUGCAUGUAUCUGAUAGACAGAAUCCUGCAGCCCUUCGUUAGAAGUUGUUUGGAUCUAGUGCAGGAGUUGACCCUCCAUCAUCUGGUGAUCCUCCAUUUCAUGCUUCUGUCACAGCAUCCAAUAGUCUAACAAAUAGUACAACCGCUGAAUCAAUUCCUAGUAUUAGCAGAGGCGGGUGUUUGCAGUGGUGUCUUUGGUUUGUCAAUAUCAUCACCCAAAUACAAGCUUCAAAGGACUCAGAGGAAGACAAUCAUCCCGUGGAACUCAGGGAAGUUGGAUAAGAGUAUUCCUGAGAGUUUUGACAGCUCAGACACUCAGUGUUCUCUUAUUAAUUAUGCUUGGAAAAUGUAGUCACGAGAGUCCCCACUUUUCAGUGUGGACUUGAAUUUGAAUAUAAUAAACCCAAGUCACAAGAUGAAAACAAGUCUGAUUCUUUGCAGACAGUGUCAGAUUUUCAGUGGGUGUGUUGAGUUCUAAGUCCUGCAUUCCGAAUUA